CCGACCUGCACGAAUGGCGUAACGACUUCUCAACUGUCUCAACCAUAGACUCGGCGAAAUUGCACUACGAGUAAAGAUGCUCGUUACGCGCGGCAGGACGAAAAGACCCCGGGACCUUCACUAUAGCUUGGUAUUGGCGUUUGGUUCGGUUUGUGUAGGAUAGGUGGGAGACUGUGAAGCAGGCACGCCAGUGUUUGUGGAGUCAUCGUUGAAAUACCACUCUGAUCGUAUUGAACCUCUAACCUCGGACCGUAUAUCCGGUCCAGGGACAGUGCCUGGUGGGUAGUUUAACUGGGGCGGUUGCCUCCCAAAAUGUAACGGAGGCGCCCAAAGGUUCCCUCAACCUGGACGGCAAUCAGGUGUUGAGUGCAAGUGCACAAGGGAGCUUGACUGCGAGACCUACAAGUCAAGCAGGGACGAAAGUCGGGACUAGUGAUCCGGCACCUCUGAGUGGAAGGGGUGUCGCUCAACGGAUAAAAGGUACCCCGGGGAUAACAGGCUGAUCUUCCCCAAGAGUCCAUAUCGACGGGAUGGUUUGGCACCUCGAUGUCGGCUCGUCGCAUCCUGGGGCUGGAGCAGGUCCCAAGGGUUGGGCUGUUCGCCCAUUAAAGCGGCACGCGAGCUGGGUUUAGAACGUCGUGAGACAGUUCGGUCUCUAUCCGCCGCGCGCGUCAGAAACUUGAGGAAACCUGUCCCUAGUACGAGAGGACCGGGACGGACGAACCUCUGGUGUACCAGUUGUUCCACCAGGAGCACGGCUGGAUAGCU
rnacentral:rRNA from 1 species